rnacentral:rRNA from 1 species
AGAGUGCGUAAUAGCUCACUAGUCGAGAGGUCCUGCGCCGAAAAUGUCCGGGGCUAAAACACACCACCGAAGCUUAGGAAUAUACGCAAGUAUAUUGGUAGAGGAGCAUUCUUAAAGAGAAGAAGCUGUACUGGAAAGAGCAGUGGAUUUUUAAGAAGAGAGAAUGCCGGAAUGAGUAGCGAGAGGAAGGUGGGAAUCCUUCCGGCCGAAUAUCCAAGGUUUCCAGGGUAAAGCUGAUCUGCCCUGGGGAAGUCGGGACCUAAGGCGAGGCCGAGAGGCGUAGUCGAUGGACAACAGGUUGAGAUUCCUGUACCACAAUAAGACAGAACUGUGGGGACACGUGUGGAAAGCAUAAGCCGGGAAUGAAGAGACCGGCGCAAGCGAGGUAGGAGUUGUACUGGCAAAUCCGUACAAUGAUCUGAAGACGUGAUGCGGACCGAACAAGAGUAGGGAAGUAUGUGAGCCAUGCGUCGAGAAAAGCCGCUAUCGUUCUUAUUGUGCCCGUACCGUAAACCGACACAGGUGGAUGAGGAGAGGAUCCUAAGGCCGACGGGAGAAGCAUUGUCAAGGAACUCGGCAAAAUGACUCCGUAACUUCGGGAGAAGGAGUGCCAGGUAAGACUGGCCGCAGAGAAUUGGCCCAAGCAACUGUUUAGCAAAAACACAGGUCUAUGCAAAACCGAAAGGUGAAGUAUAUGGGCUGACGCCUGCCCGGUGCUGGAAGGUUAAGGGGAGAACUCAGGGGAAACCCAAAGGUUAGAACUGAAGCCCCAGUAAACGGCGGCCGUAACUAUAACGGUCCUAAGGUAGCGAAAUUCCUUGUCGGGUAAGUUCCGACCCGCACGAAAGGCGUAAUGAUUUGGGCGCUGUCUCAACAACACACUCGGUGAAAUUGAAGUACCAGUGAAGAUGCUGGUUACCUGCGCCAGGACGGAAAGACCCCAUGGAGCUUUACUCUAGUUUGGCAUUGGGACACGGUGCUUUACGUACAGGAUAGGUGGGAGGCGAAGAAGAAGGGACGCCAGUUUCUUUGGAGCCGACGUUGGGAUACCACCCUUAAAGUACUGGGUUUCUAACCUUUGACCCGUGAAACCGGGAAAGGGACACUGCCAGGCGGGGAGUUUGACUGGGGCGGUCGCCUCCGAAAGAGUAUCGGAGGCGCUCAAAGGUCUUCUCAGAAUGGACGGAAACCAUUCGCAGAGUGCAAAAGCAGAAGAAGGCUUGACUGUGACACCGACGGGUGGAACAGGUACGAAAGUAGGAUUUAGUGAUCCGGUGGCAAAAAGUGGGAUUGCCAUCGCUCAACGGAUAAAAGCUACCCUGGGGAUAACAGGCUU